AAAACAUGUAUAGGCCUAUACGUGGCUGAUUGACCAAAAUGACUGAGCUUUGUUAAACAAACACGUACGACAAUGCUAGCUUGUUAUUAGCCCAAGGCAGCAUGCUGAUCUUUCAGUGUUUGAUGAUCUGUCGGCUUGUCAAGUAACUUAAUUAUAAUUUGAAUGCCAUUGCUUUUGAAAGCAAAAUGUGUCUGUUUGGCGUGCGUCAGGUGUAAUUCCCUCCUUCCGUACCGUAGCCAAGUCCUUACAUCAAGAUGAGUAAACAUUUCACUACCAUUCUGGCACUAUGCUGGCCAGUGGCCACAUCGGAAAAGCAACGUAGUCUAGCUGUGUUCCUCCGUCAACUGUUAAAUAUUGUUUGUUUCUGUGUUGCCAAAUUGCCAAGUUGCUAGUUGGUGAUGAAAUGAUGGUCAUUGGUACGUUCGUUUUCAGUAUGCAAAUUGCGUCAUUAAUGUUGACUGUACUGAGUGACGAGUGCAUAGUGUAAUGCAAAUUGUGUCAUUAAUGUUUAAUUGUAGGCCUACUGACGAGUGCAUUGUGUAGUAAACAUUUCCCCAUCCUCAUGUGACAUGGUUUCAUUCUGUAGGCAAACAACAAACCACACUUCACCUGGAAAACAGAGCCAGGACUCACUGUCAGAUGUCUGAAAAUGUACAGUAGGCUACACGCCAGCAGGUCUCACCAUAGUCAACAUCAUCAAGGAUUGUCACUCCGACCUGAGAAGAGGCCCCAUAGAGACACGGACAAGGACCAGCCACUGUUGCCAGUGCACAACUGAGGACCCGACCAGCCUGCUGCCAUCUAUGAUAUAUAGUACCCGCGGAGCGGUCUGAAGACGUGGAGUACACUGCAGCAGGUAUCACAUGACCAAGGACUUGGACAACGUCUCUGUUUACAUCUAUAGUGUAUUACACAACUGAAGAUGUGCACAGUACGCUACUGCCUGCAUCCUACCACCACAGAGGAUCCGAUAUGCAGAACCAGCUUCAAAAACCAUUGCAAUUAUGAAACACAGUUAAUAAAUGCUUAUAUACAGCA